UUAAAAUUGGUGUACUAAUGGUA
rnacentral:siRNA from 1 species